GCGGAGGUGGCGAAAUGGUAGACGCGCUACUUUGAGGGGGUAGUGUCCUUAAGGACAUGUGAGUUCGAGUCUCAUCUUCCGCA
rnacentral:tRNA from 2 species